ACGCACGCUGGCGGCAUGCCUAACACAUGCCAGUCGAACGAGACCUUCGGGUCUAGUGGCGCACGGGUGCGUAACGCGUGGGAACCUGCCCUUAGGUUCGGAAUAACUCCCCGAAAGGGGUGCUAAUACCGGAUAAUGUCUUCGGACCAAAGAUUUAUCGCCUUUGGAUGGGCCCGCGUUGGAUUAGCUAGUUGGUAGGGUAAAAGCCUACCAAGGCGACGAUCCAUAGCUGGUCUGAGAGGAUGAUCAGCCACACUGGGACUGAGACACGGCCCAGACUCCUACGGGAGGCAGCAGUGGGGAAUAUUGGACAAUGGGCGAAAGCCUGAUCCAGCAAUGCCGCGUGAGUGAUGAAGGCCUUAGGGUUGUAAAGUUCUUUUACCCGGGAUGAUAAUGACAGUACCGGGAGAAUAAGCUCCGGCUAACUCCGUG
rnacentral:rRNA from 1 species